rnacentral:rRNA from 1 species
AUGCGGGACUCAUCAGAGGCCUCGCAAUUGGAAUGAGCGCACUUUAAAUCGUUCGACGAGGAUCUAUUGGAGGGCAAGUCCGGUGCCAGCAGCCGCGGUAAUUCCAGCUCCAAUAGCGUAUAUUAAAGUUGUUGCAGUUAAAAAGCUCGUAGUUGGAUCUGGGGUUCGGGUCGGCGGUUUGCCGCUUCGGCGGCUACUGCCGUGCUCGACUCUUACUAGCCGGUGCGUCUUGCGGUGCUCUUCAUCGAGUGCCGUAGGAGCCUGGCAUGUUUACUUUGAAAAAAUUAGAGUGCUCAAAGCAGGCGAUUCCGCCUGAAUAGUGUUGCAUGGAAUAAUGGAAUAGGACCUCGGUUCUAUUUUGUUGGUUUUCGGAACUUGAGGUAAUGAUUAAGAGGGACGGUCGGGGGCAUUCGUAUUUCGGUGUUAGAGGUGAAAUUCUUGGAUCGCUGAAAGACGGACAAAUGCGAAAGCAUCUGCCAAGAACGUCUCCAUUAAUCAAGAACGAAAGUCAGAGGUUCGAAGACGAUCAGACACCGUCCUAGUUCUGACCAUAAACGAUGCCAACUAGCGAUCCGCAGUGGUUGCUAUAAACGGACUCUGCGAGCAGCUUCCGGGAAACCAAAGUGUUUGGGUUCCGGGGGAAGUAUGGUUGCAAAGCUGAAACUUAAAGGAAUUGACGGAAGGGCACCACCAGGAGUGGAGCCUGCGGCUUAAUUUGACACAACACGGGGAAACUCACCCGGUCCGGACACUGUAAGGAUUGACAGAUCGAGAGCUCUUUCUUGAUUCGGUGGAUGGUGGUGCAUGGCCGUUCUUAGUUGGUGGAGUGAUUUGUCUGGUUAAUUCCGAUAACGAACGAGACUCUAGCCUGCUAACUAGUUGCGCCGUGUUCAUACGCGGCUGUAGACUUCUUAGAGGGACAGGUGGCGUUUAGCCACACGAAAUUGAGCAAUAACAGGUCUGUGAUGCCCUUAGAUGUCCGGGGCCGCACGCGCGCUACACUGAAGGAGUCAGCGUGUGCUAUCCGGGCUCGGAAGAGUUCGGUAACCCGUUGAAACUCCUUCGUGCUUGGGAUUGUGGCUUGUAAUUAUCGCGCAUGAACGAGGAAUUCCCAGUAAGUGCAAGUCAUCAGCUUGCGCUGACUACGUCCCUGCCCUUUGUACACACCGCCCGUCGCUACUACCGAUUGAAUGGUUUAGCAAGGUACUCGGAUUGGUCUCGAUCUUGUACGAAAGUGCGGGAUCUGUGGCCGAGAAGAAGGCCAAACUUGAUCAUUUAGAGGAAGUAAA